AAGCAGGCCGGCAGGUGAAUGGAGCCACGUUCUCUGAGUGCCAGUCCCUAACGCCGUGCCCUCCUCUAGCCCAGGCUGCAGGGAAUUGCGCCUUCAUGCUGCAGAGGAAUCCAGACAGUAGAGGAGUCAGACACUUGGCUCUCAAGGUUGGAACACAGCAACACAUUGAAAUAAUCAAUGAAAAGUCAAACAACCGAGAUCUCAGAGCUGACAAGAAUAUCCUGAGAAGAGAAAGAGAGUUGGAGGGAAGUUCUGGAGGCCGGAAGUCUGAACUCUGUUUCAGUGAGCCGAAAUCAAGGUGCAGCUCUGCUCCCU